rnacentral:rRNA from 1 species
AUGCCCCUUCCUAUUCCUUAUCAACCUUGGGAAGAAAUUAGCAUGGACUUUGUACUUGGUUUGCCUAGAACUCAAAAUGGAAAGGAUUCUGUGUUUGUUGUUGUGGACCGAUUCUUUAAAAUGGCUCAUUUUAUCCCAUGCAACAAGAUAGACGAUGCUUCACAUAUUGCAAAUAUCUUUUGUAGGGAAAUUUUAUGCCUACAUGGAGUACCCAAGACGAUCGUCCCGAACCGCGACAUCAAGUUCUUGAGUUACUUUUGGAAGACUCUAUGCGCCAAGCUCGGAAUCAAGCUCUUCUUCUCUUCGGCAUACCAUCCGCAGACCGAUGGCCAAACAGAGGUGACGAACCGUACGCUCUCCACUCUACUACGCGUGUUAGUCAAGAGGAACAUCAAGGAGUGGGAGGAGUGUGUACCCAUUGCCGAGUACGCCUAA